GCGAGUCUUGGCGGGAUCUGGAUGUGGCAUUUGGGAUCUGGUAGCAGUCUGGGUGGUGCGGGUGACUGACAGAAAGUCCUUGCACGUGACGACCCCAAAGGGCCAGCAGAGGCGCUCACUCCGGGCUCCCAGUGAAUCAACAAACAUCCAUACCAUGGAAUACAGUUCAGGAAUAAUAAAGAAGGAACAUGAACUCAUACAGCAUCAUGAAUGAAUCUCAAAACAUCAAUAUUUAAGAAAAUAAGCCAGCAGACAAAGUUGAAGUUGCUGGCACCGGCUUCCUGUGAUGACAAAGCAUCUCCAGCCACCCCGGAGCUCUUCAGAGCCCACAUGGAACCCACCAUGCCUCCCACACACAGUGCAGCCUGUGGGGAGGCUCCUAGCCCUGGAGCUUCCUUUCCAUGGCAGCUCAAAGCUUUUGACCUGGGGCAAGGAAUGCCUGUUCAAGUCACUGCCCACUUCAUUGUCCACAUCUCAUGAGAUGCUAGGGAGUUAAAAGUUAAUUUUUUAUAUCUCU